rnacentral:rRNA from 1 species
GCCCAGACUCCUACGGGAGGCAGCAGUGGGGAAUAUUGUACAAUGGGGGAAACCCUGAUGCAGCGACGCCGCGUGAGCGAUGAAGUAUUUCGGUAUGUAAAGCUCUAUCAGCAGGGAAGAAAAUGACGGUACCUGACUAAGAAGCCCCGGCUAACUACGUGCCAGCAGCCGCGGUAAUACGUAGGGGGCGAGCGUUAUCCGGAUUCACUGGGUGUAAAGGGAGCGUAGACGGCCAUGCAAGCCAGGGGUGAAAGCCCGGGGCCCAACCCCGGGACUGCCCUUGGAACUGCAUGGCUGGAGUGCGGGAGGGGCAGGCGGAAUUCCUGGUGUAGCGGUGAAAUGCGUAGAUAUCAGGAGGAACACCGGCGGCGAAGGCGGCCUGCUGGACCGCGACUGACGUUGAGGCUCGAAAGCGUGGGGAGCAAACAGGAUUAGAUACCCUUGUAGG